rnacentral:rRNA from 1 species
UUGAACGCUGGCGGCAAUGCUUAACACAUGCAAGUCGAACGGCAGCAUGACAUGUAGCAAUACAUGUUGAUGGCGAGUGGCGGACGGGUGAGUAAACGCGUAGGGAUCUGCCCUGUAGUGGGGGGACAACCCGGGGAAACCCGGGGCUAAUACCGCAUGAUACUCUGAGGAGGAAAGCUGGGAGCAAUCCUGGCGCUACGGGAGGAACCUGCGUCCGAUUAGCUAGCUGGUGAGGUAAAGGCUCACCAGGGCGAUGAUCGGUAGCUGGUCUGAGAGGGAUGACCAGCCACACUGGGACUGAGGACACGGCCCAGACUCCUACGGGAGGCAGCAGUGGGGAAUAUUGGACAAUGGGGGGAAACCCUGAUCCAGCAAUGUCGCGUGUGUGAAGAAGGCCUUCGGGUUGUAAAAGCACUUUGGGUGGGGGAAGAAGGUGGCUAGUCUAAGAGAUGAGGCCAUUUUGACGGUACCCGCAGAACAAGCACCGGCUAACUCUGUGCCAGCAGCCGCGGUAAUACAGAGGGUGCAAGCGUUUAAUCGGAGUUACUGGGGCGUAAAGGGCGCGUAGGCGGUUGUACAAGUGAGAUGUGAAAUCCCCGGGCUUAACCUGGGAACUGCAUUUUUAGACUGUACGACUGGAGUACUGUAGAGGACAGUGGAAUUUUCCGGUUGUAGCGGUGAAAUGCGUAGAGAUCGGAAGGAACACCAGUGGCGAAGGCGACUGUCUGGACAGAUACUGACGCUGAGGCCGCGAAAGCGUGGGGAGCAAACAGGAUUAGAUACCCUGGUAGUCCACGCUGUAAACGAUGAGAAACUGGAUGUUGCGGGGGCCUGGCCCUGCAGUAUCGAAGCUAACGCGAUAAGUUCUCCGCCUGGGGAGUACGGGCCCGCAAGGUUUUAAAACUCAAAGGAAUUGACGGGGGCCCGCACAAGCGGUGGAGCAUGUGGUUUUAAUUCGAUGCAACGCGAAAGAAACCUUACCUGCCCUUGACAUCCACGGAAUCCUGCAGAGAUGGCGGGAGUGCCGAAAAGGAAACCGUGAGACAGGUGCUGCAUGGCUGUCGUCAGCUCGUGUUGUGGAGAUGUUGGGUUUAAGUCCCGUAACGAGCGCAACCCCCUGUUUUCAGUUACCAGCGAGCAAAGUCGGGAACUCUGAAAAGACUGCCGGUGAUGAACCGGAGGAAGGCGGGGACGACGUCAAGUCAUCAUGGGCCUUUAUGGGCAGGGCUACACACGUGCUACAAUGGGGGCAUACAGAGGGGCGGCCAACCCGCGAGGGGGAGCCAAUCCCAGAAAGCGUCUCUUAGUUCCGGACUGGAGUCUGCAAACUCGACUCCACGAAGUCGGAAUCGCUAGUAAUUCGCGAAUCAGAAUGUCGCGGUGAAUACGUUCCCGGGCCUUGUACACACCCGCCCGUCACACCAUGGGAGUGGGUUGUACCAGAAGCAGGUAGUUUAUUAACCGCAAGGGGGACGCCUGCCACGGUAUGGUUCAUGACUGGGGGU